rnacentral:misc_RNA from 1 species
GAAAUGCGAUACCUAGUGUGAAUUGCAGCCAUCGUGAAUCAUCGAGUUCUUGAACGCACAUUGCGCCCCAUGGUAUUCCAUGGGGCAUGCCUGUCUGAGCGUCGUUUCCUUCUUGCGCAAGCAGAGUUGAGAACAGGCUAUGCCUUUUUCGAAAUGGAACGUCGUGGACGAAGUGAACUAAACUUUUAGCACGCUUUGGCCGCCGAACUUUUAACUAAGCUCGACCUCAGAUCAGGUAGGAAUACCCGCUGAACUUAA